UACGUAGGAGGCGAGCGUUGUCCGGAUUUACUGGGCGUAAAGGGCGCGUAGGCGGCACUGUUAGUCAGGCGUGAAAUCCCCGGGCUCAACCCGGGAACUGCGUCCGAUACUGGCAGGCUUGAAUUCGGGAGAGGGAUGCGGAAUUCCAGGUGUAGCGGUGAAAUGCGUAGAUAUCUGGAGGAACACCGGUGGCGAAGGCGACAUCCUGGACCGGUAGUUGACGCUGAGGCGCGAAAGCCAGGGGAGCAAAGCGGG
rnacentral:rRNA from 1 species